UAAAUUGACGUAUAUCGAGCCGUUUCCUUGUAAUCGUGCCUUAAACAUUGAUUUGUUUUUUCAAAUUUUUGUUUGAAUUUUUGAUUUUUGUAAUUACCAGAAAAAUCAAUAUUUUCAUAGAUCAAACCAUUAUUUUGGGAAAUUUGACGCAAGGAGUGAAUUUCAUGAAAAAUGUUAAGAGACCUUUUUUUGCAGAGCAUCAAGUUAACAUUUAAAAUAAUGGUUUGAUCUAUGAAAAUAUUGAUUUUUUUGGUAAUUACAAGAAUCAAAAAUUCAAACAAAAAUUUGAAAAAACAAAUCAAUGUUUAAGGCACGAUUACAAGGAAACGGCUCGAUCUACGUCAAUUUAGUAGGAGAGCUUUUUUGUAGGAAAUUUAAUUUCCUUCAAAAAUAUGGAUUGAUAAAAUUUUUCAGAUUGAUAAUUGACGGAUUUUGGAGAUCGGAAGAGCG
rnacentral:lncRNA from 1 species